rnacentral:rRNA from 1 species
GAUGAACGCUGGCGGCGUGCUUAACACAUGCAAGUCGAGCGAGUGAGUUCUUCGGAACGAUCUAGCGGCGGACGGGUGAGUAACACGUGGGCAACCUGCCUCAUAGAGGGGAAUAGCCUUCCGAAAGGAAGGUUAAUACCGCAUAACAUCGUUGAAGGGCAUCCUUCGAUGAUCAAAGGAGCAAUCCGCUAUGAGAUGGGCCCGCGGCGCAUUAGCUAGUUGGUGAGGUAACGGCUCACCAAGGCGACGAUGCGUAGCCGACCUGAGAGGGUGAUCGGCCACAUUGGGACUGAGACACGGCCCAGACUCCUACGGGAAGCAGCAGUGGGGAAUAUUGCACAAUGGGGGAAACCCUGAUGCAGCAACGCCGCGUGAGUGAUGACGGCCUUCGGGUUGUAAAGCUCUGUCUUUGGGGACGAUAAUGACGGUACCCAAGGAGGAAGUCACGGCUAACUACGUGCCAGCAGCCGCAGUAACAC